CUUGUUUAUAAUAGAUUCAUCAUAGCGAAUCAUAUGCUUUCAUAUGUUAGUGCAUGAAUUGCCGUGGUCACCUGCAUGCAUACUGUAAGAUGUGUCGUAAAAUUUCCAGUAAAGAAAUUUAACCCUUUAAGUGGCAAUUAUUGAAUUUCAAAUAAAAAAAAUAUUUUCUUGCAAAAUUAACCUACAAAUGAGCCUAGAAAGCCAAUUAAAAAAAAAAAAAAUCUCCUUUGAAUUUCAGGGGGGGGGAAAUAAUUUGUUGCAGAUAUGCUACAUUGCCGCUUAAGGGUAAAAAAGAUACAAUAACUAGAAAAUAUAUUUUAUUGAAGAACCAACAGAUUUUUGUUGGUUUUGUGAUACCAUACAGAUGUAAAUGCAUUUUCCUUGAAUUAUAUAUAAUACAGCAUGUUAUAUAUUGG